UUUUGCCUACGGGAGGCAGCAGUGGGGAAUAUUGGACAAUGGGGGGAACCCUGAUCCAGCGACGCCGCGUGAGUGAAGAAGUAUUUCGGUAUGUAAAGCUCUAUCAGCAGGGAAGAAAAUGACGGUACCUGACUAAGAAGCCCCGGCUAACUACGUGCCAGCAGCCGCGGUAAUACGGAGGAUGCGAGCGUUAUCCGGAUUUAUUGGGUUUAAAGGGUGCGCAGGCGGCGAGUUAAGUCAGCGGUAAAAUUUCGGGGCUCAACCCCGACGAGCCGUUGAAACUGGCUUGCUAGAGUGGGCGAGAA
rnacentral:rRNA from 1 species